AGACUCUUUUAUAGAUUUAUCUAUAAUAGCCUGAGGUAAGAACUUUGGGCUUCCAUGAUUAUUUUUUAUUUGUCUUGUGUCCUUCAGCUCUUCUGUCUCCUUCAAUGGGAGAGUGGAUUAUUCAGGACUGUAUUCUGUGCUGUGCAGGUGGGACAUGUCUUAAAUAUCUAUAUGCUGAUGGAGUGAGUGGUUAGGGCAUGUUUUUGUUACAUAUACAAAAGACCAGGAGUAAUUUCCAUGAUCUUUGUGUUCCUGCAGUGUAUGUGUGUGUGUGUGUGUGUAUAGUUUCUGGAAAAAAAAAGUAUAACUGCAAAAGACAGGAGCAUGAAUUUGUACCUCUGGGAUUUGUUUCCCUACAGAAAAAGAAGUUCAUAUUCUCCCUCAAAUACAUGUGCACAGUUUGCAUACAUUGUCAUCAUAUAACCACUGGAUUAUGGAGGAAAGAGGGAGUGCAGUCUAGUGAUUGGGACAGAUGGGGAAACAGAAAAAAAGAGAGGCCAAAGGCCUAAACCAAAGCCUCCCAAUGGGAGAGAGACACCCAUGGACUUCAAUGUAAAGACUCUUAUUGACUUUGGCUUUGGGCUUGAUCCAAAUUUCCACUAAAAUUUCCACUAAAGAGACUAGAAAGAGAACUCACAUCUUCCAUCUCUCAAUCCAAUUCACCAACUUUAAAACAGUUAUUUCAGUAUAGUAGUCACAGUUGCUAUGCCUACCAAACCAAAAUAUGUGCUUUAGUCAGGCCAUGUAUAUCAGAAGAUUAUCUGGCCCUUGUCAUUUUAUGUACUAUUUUGAGUUGUUUAGUUUUAUUUUAGAUUUUAUUUUUGUUUGUUGGUAAAAUGAGUCUUAAAUCCAUUUUGUUGUUACAACUCUCGAGACAGAAAAGUGCAUAAUAAAACGGUAGCCCAAGAUGCACUUCAGUCGAGUUGGUUGGGAAAGAUGCCCCACAGCAUGGUGUGUUUCCAUGGGGAAAGGUUCAAUGUUGUUGGAAAUCUCCAGAGCCACGUAAAUGAAUGCCCCUCCUAGGUCCACAAGCAGGAUUCAUCAUACAUCCAGAGAACUGUACAGCUAAGAAGAACAUAAGGUCUGUGGAGCCAUGUGGGAAAACCCAUCCUGCCAUAUAAAUUAUAAACCCUAGGCAUUUUUUAGUAAUUCAUGUAAUCCUCACUUUAUAGAGGAUUCUACUUCUGGGAUUCAUUGCUGGCUUUCAAAUCAGUAACCACAAGCAGUCCCUCUUCUAGACUUAAAGUAGCAGUCAUCCACAACCAUAAACAUACAACCACAGUCACCCCACAAACUCAAACAGACAGCCAUAAAAAUCUCAUAUAGUUCUAAACCUCUGCCCGAAGUAAUCUCUUCCUACAUCAUGUCAUAAAAUACCUAACCUCAUCUGUAAGUUCUCUGCGACAGGGAUUUUUGGCAGGAUUUUCAAAUGUAUCGACAGCCCCUGAAAUCAGGCCUCAAGUUCAUACUCUCUGUAUAAGGUUUCAUUGGCUAUCUAUGGUACCAUAUACAACUAUUACAUAAUCCUCUUAGUAAACAGAUAUAUAAAUAAUAUCAAAGACUCAAGAAAUAUAUCAGCAAAAUGGGUCCCCGCACAGCAUUGUUUGGGCUCCUUUUCAUUCUAAAAUGAAAUUUAAAAAAAAUCAGAGAAAACUGCCUUAUUAACAAAAGCUAUUAAAGUAAUCGAAACACCACAUUAAGCUUUGCUUGCACAGCACUAGACACAAUCAGAAACAUACAUUAGUCAUUUAGAUACAAGAUAAUUUACUGUAUUUUAAGGUCAUGUGGCAUGCUGAGCUCCUGCUUCUCCUUCUGAGCUGUUGUCCUUUUUGAGGUUUGGUGACUGAAAAACACACCACCAUUUUAACAGUUAAAAGAUUACUAUUAACAAUUAGUCGAUGAAAACAGCAACAGAUAUAAACUCGCCCACCUGCUCUGGAAGCAGAUAGAGAGUUUUGAUUGUAUAUUACCGUAACAGAAUUAUUGUGUGGCACAUCCAUAGGCAGUUAGGCACCACCUAAAGGGUAUGGCUCCUCCCAGAUGGCAAGGAUCCCUGAUUCAGAAGUAACCUGAGUUUCCUGUGCUUUCUGCUUUGGGGGAAGAAGCAGUACCAGCUGCCUGGGCGGAGCUGCCCCUGUACCCCCAUCAGUAAUAAAAUACAUGCUCUGUUUACUGAACUCACUCCAGCAUCCAUCCAGCUUUCCAGGGACUUUGCCUGUUUGUGAUACUCCACCAAUAAAGAGACCACAAGGUCACACAACAUUAUGCUAAGGCCUUGCUGUUUAUUACUUAAUUUUAGUGAAACGAUGUAUGGCUGCUGGCUUUACCCAUUUCUGUUUUAAAUGUGGAGUAGACUUGAGCUCUGGAGUUGGAAGGCAGAGUUGAUGGUGCUUUGAGAUUAGGGCAACUUUUUCUUGCCCCUCCUCUCUCUCCUGGCUGUAUUUAUGGUUUACCAUAAUGUAAUGUAAUCUGAGUUGAUAACUGCAUGGUAGGAACAGGUUAAACAAGGAUAAUUGUGAACCUACAUAAAUGUAGAUUCCAAAAUAAAUUUCAUAAUCCAGGGAUGAAGGAGAGAUGGAGAAUGAGGUGGAAGAAUGUCCCCAGCUCUUUAUCUUUUUCUCUGUAGAGGAAUAAAGCAUAAUGUAAAUCCCAGUAUGUGGGAAUUUACUCUCAUCCUUUUGCAUGGCCAUGUACAUCCACAUCCAUGUAAAGUAUCUUGGACAUUCCUGAUAUUAAUCAUGAGCAGCAAAAUCUCUGUUAUAGGGCCCUACAAGGUUAUGCAUGUCUGAUGUCAAGAAAGGCAGUUUCUAUAACCUAGCCAAGCAGACAAUAUUGAGACAUUCUUAAAUCAGUUUCAGAAUGGAGCCAUUAGUGUUCACUAGAUUCAUAAAUUAGUUGUUUAUUUCUGGUCAGUUUAAGAGAACAAGCAGUUGAUAGACACAUAUAUAAAUGUAUAGUAUGCCUACACAUACAGUAUAUAGUAUGCCUACACAUACAGUCUAUAGGCCUGUAUUCACACAUACGUGCACAGAUGUGAUCACAGGGACAUUUGUAUCGUGUGGGGCUCCACUCCUUAGAAUGAAAACAUCCAAGAAUCUUAAAGAAGAUUUUCUGUAAGUGGAACAAAGGCAAAUAAGAAUUCAUGUCUGACCUCAUCUGACACAAAUACAGCUAUUAAAAAGGGAUUAACAACCUGCACACACAGCAAAGGUUAUAGCUAGUCAUUAAGAGACUAUGGCUUUCUAUACAAUUAGGACACAUUACAAGUCAGCCCAGGGUUAUGCUUGAGUGGGAGAAAUGCCGGGUAAAAGAAAAACUUACAAAUUUACAUGGAGAAACUCUGACAACUCACUGAAGAGGAGUAUGAGGCUGUGACUUAAAACAUCCUGGGAAGUGUUCCACUGAUGCCAAGAGAUGGAAACUAUAAGCGAGCCAUAAAGUGAAACAACACAUAAGAAUUCCAAAUAUAUAUGCUCCAUUUGUUCCAUGAGAAACAGCAGACCCACCUACAAGACAGUUCUUAAUGAUAUUUUCGUUGUGCUCUGUUAAUGUCAAUGAUCCUACUUUUUAUAUGUAUCAGUAGCUCUUCAAAAAUAAAUCCACCAGAGGGUUUGUUUAGUUUGGAAAAUAACAGAUUAAACUAAAAUAAAAAGAUAUACCAAUGACAACUUUAAACUGGAUGAGUAUUUCUCUCUCCCCAUGCCGACCUGUAACAAGUAAUAAAAAGUUAUAAUAACUUUUUCAUACCAUAUGUGUUAUAUGUCUGUCCACAUGGGAUCUUUUCCAUCCAAUGAGCUUGUUGGAUGGCUGGCCAUUGUUGUAAAUUGAUAAAAAUGAAAGAAUUAACUGAUUCCUGACUUUGCUGAAGUUCUGCAAAAAAUUAAGGAAGUGCUUCCAGAAAUGGUUUUUGUUUUUAUGGAUUAAAUAUGCUUUCUGUUUGUACGAAGCACAUAGGUAUGUUAUAUAUGUAAAACAGCUAACCAGGAUGCAUCUCUUAACGAUUAGUACAGUGGGCAGCUGUCAUUCCUCUAUACCACAAGCUGACAGGCAAAAUUAUUGUCUGCCCCAGUCUUUUGGUACAACAGAAAUAAAAUUAUUGUAAUAUUAUGUGCUGGUUGCCUUCUCCACCCCAAUUUUUAUGUGAGACAAUGUGUUGCAAUUUAAAAAAGGAGUAAGUUGUUUAUUAGUUCAUAACAUGCUAGAUUUUGUAUUGGUUAAUUAAUAUUUCACUUUAAAUGUGAAAAAAUGACUUUUUAAUAUUUUAACUGUUUUCACUUCUACUACAUUGUUUCCUUUUAUAUUUGAUACCUACAAUGAUUUCCAUUAAAGCUGUCAGUAAGAAACUAA